GAUGAACGCUGGCGGCGUGCCUAAUACAUGCAAGUCGAGCGAACAGACGAGGAGCUUGCUCCUCUGACGUUAGCGGCGGACGGGUGAGUAACACGUGGAUAACCUACCUAUAAGACUGGGAUAACUUCGGGAAACCGGAGCUAAUACCGGAUAAUAUAUUGAACCGCAUGGUUCAAUAGUGAAAGACGGUUUUGCUGUCACUUAUAGAUGGAUCCGCGCCGCAUUAGCUAGUUGGUAAGGUAACGGCUUACCAAGGCAACGAUGCGUAGCCGACCUGAGAGGGGGAGAGGCCACACUAGAAAGGAGACAGGGCCCGGCCCCAGAGGGGAGGGGGAGGUGGGGAAUCUUCGGGAAGGGGAGAAGGCAGGACGGGGAACAGCGGAGUGAGGGAGAAAGGUAUGGGGAUAUAAAAACUAUUUUAUGGGGAAAAAAAAAAGGGGUAAGAAACGAGGCCUGCUUUGAGGGUACCUAAUAAAAAAGCCACGGCAAAUUACGUG
rnacentral:rRNA from 1 species